rnacentral:rRNA from 1 species
CGUUAGCGGCGGACGGGUGAGUAACACGUGGGUGACCUACCUAUAAGACUGGGAUAACUCCGGGAAACCGGGGCUAAUACCGGAUAACACAUGAAACCGCAUGGUUUCAUGAUGAAAGACGGUUUUGCUGUCACUUAUAGAUGGACCCGCGGCGUAUUAGCUAGUUGGUAAGGUAACGGCUUACCAAGGCAACGAUACGUAGCCGACCUGAGAGGGUGAUCGGCCACACUGGAACUGAGACACGGUCCAGACUCCUACGGGAGGCAGCAGGC